rnacentral:lncRNA from 1 species
AUAUUAUCUUAAUCAGUAUUAUAGCUAAUUUUUAUUAAUAAAAUUAAUUAAUUAAUGUUUUAUUUGUGUUUGAGUGAAAUUAAUCCAAGAGACCCAGUAACUCUGGAUUUGAGCCCAAUGCCUGGCAGCCCAAGCUCAAUAAAUUUUCCAAACAUCCACAGCAUGGGGGCUUUGAAAUUUUCCAAUUUCCCAACCGACCGUGGACCUCCAUGCACAUGCAAACGAGCUCUUCAAUUCCAAGCAUCAUGGCAUCUCAUCCAAGGGACCUAAACCAAAUCCAAGGGACCUAAAUCAAACCCAAGGGACCUAAGCUAAACCAGCUCUUCAAUUCCAAGCGGCAUCUCAUCAGCAUCCUUCCGUUUCCCCUGUUUCUUCCCAGCUCAUCCAAGCGUGGAGCGUGCGACGGAAGAGGAGGAGGCCAGCAGCCAUCGGGAGGAGAAGAGUCCCAAGCCGAGUCCUCCACUUCUUUUCCAUGAGUCGUCUUAACUUCCCAAACUUCUGCAACGUCCCAGCAUUCAUCAGAGUCCUUCCGUCUCCCCCGUUUCUUCCCAGCUCAUCCACAAAUCCAACAUCAAUGACUGCAGCUCAAACUUCUUCAAUGUUCAACCUCCCAACGCCGAAG